UUUUGCUUGAAUUUUUCUUAUCUUGCCAUAAAAUAUGAGUUUUACUUCACAACUUCAGUGUCACUAAGUUAUCAUGAUAUAAGAUAGUAAGCAUCCCAUUAAUUGCCAUUUUUGUGACAAAAUACAGUUUUAUCUACUAGAAUAAUUUACUUUUUAAAAAGCCUUAAUUAUUUUUGACAAAGAUGGAAGUAACUUGAGAUUGGCUUUUUCUGCAAAAAUUUUAGUAGGAGUUCCCAUCAUGGCACAGUGGAAAUGAAUCCGACUAGGAACCAUGAGGUUUUGGGUUCGAUUCCUGGCCUUGCUCAGUGGGUUAAGGAUCCUGCAUUGUGGUGAGCUGUGGUAUAGGUUGCAGACGUGGCUCGGAUCUGGCAUUCCUGUGGCUAUGGAAUAGGCCGGAGGUUACAGCUCCAAUUCGAAAUUCGACCCCUAGACUGGGAACCUCCAUAUGCUGCAGGUACGGCUCUCAAAAGACAAAAAAAAAAAAAAAUUAUCGAUAAAGAUAUAAUACAGAAGAAUUUGAUUGCUUGGUCUUGUAGUAAACUAAAAAGCAAAAGGAAUAAAAUUAUUUAUUUUCCUUGGGAAUCUAUGAUGAUUAAAAAAUUGAGCUAGAACUAAAUAAUUACUAUAAUUCAUUUUGACAGACAAAAUUCUAUUAUUUUCAAAGCUGCAUAAAUAUAUUCACAAUUUCUUCUCUAUCUAGUUUGCUUUUGUUUCCCUGCUCUUUGGAGAGGCAUAGAAUGGCUUCCUGAGGUCAGAUGCCAACAGUGCUUCUGCCAAGAUUUGCUGAGGAAGUUAAGCCAGUUUUAACACCACUCUUAUACUGUGGGUGACUGGUAUUAAUUUUCUGUUUUUCUACAUUAUGUUAAAAUGUGUAUUAAUGCUAAGCUUAGACUUUAGUUUCUGGUGUUUACACAAAUCAUUCUGAGAUGGUAGAGGGGAGCCAUUUAAGGUAACUUAGUUUUAAAAGUUAGAAAACUUUCUUUGCUAUUAUUGGAUGUUAUCACUAGAUAAAUAUUUCCUUGUUAUAUAAAAGGUCAUAUUUAUAAUUUAUGUCAGCAAAGUUUUUAUUGAGUUUAUAUAUUUAAGUAAGAUUACUAUAUAUAUCAUUUCAUAUAUAUAUGUAUAGUAUUAUACAUCAUUUUAUAUACAUUAUAUGUAUAUAUACAUAUAUAUACACACUAGUGAUAAUAUUUAAAAUUCAUCUAAAAUCUACUUGAGCAACUAUCUAAAUAUUUGUUGAGUUACUGAAAAAGUCAUAGGUCUUUUAAACGGAAAUAUUCUUCGAUCUAUUUCCCUGUUAAACUUAAAACAGAUUCUCUCGUGAAAGUUUUUAGUAACUUCGAUUUACCCCAAAUUAAGGCCAGUCACUGGUUUAAAAUUGAUCAGUAAUGGGAAAUCAGUUAUGAAUUAGUUAUAUCCUCAGUGUACAGAGGCCUUACGGAGAUUAAACUGUGUGCUUAUUUCAUGAAUUCUGGGCAUGUAUGGGUUCACUUGCACAUGCUUCAAAUAAAGGUAGGAAGGAACACAUACUGAAAUUCAGAUUCAGACAGAAGAUCGAUAUAGCAACAGUUCUUCACAUGAGAAGAGAAUCCAUCAGCAUGAAAAAUAUGAUCCUGAAUGAGGACCAGAAGCCUUGGGUUCUGCUCCUGGCUCUGUCAUUACCAAUGAACAGAUUUUGAUCAUGUCAACUGCCUCUCAAUCUUAUUAUCUUACCUAUCAAAUGAGAUUUUUGUGAUUUAAUUGAUAGCAGUGUGUAAAAAUACUUGGUAAAUUAUAAAGGGUUAUAAAAAGUGUAUGCUAAUGUUUGUAGAAAUAAUCAUUAAAAAUAUACCCUAAUUCAUUUACUAUGUGGUUUGAUUUACAGACAAUUAUUGCCUAUCUAUUACAUAAAACUAAUUUUGUCUGAGCAAGAUAUCUUUAAUCUUAUGUAGGCAACUAGUCUCAAUUUGGUAGGCUGUCAUUAAAUUAAAUCUAGCCUGGUAACUAUCCACAAAUAUUUUUGUAAAAGUAGUAACAUUUAGUUAAAAGAAAGUUCAAUUAUGAUUUACAAAGAACAAAAAAGGGCACUGGAAUGAAAUCAUGACCUACACCUAAAUAUUAUUAUUUGAAAUUUAAUAGAUCAUACAUUAGCCAUUAUUUUUAUAGUUGAAUGUACAUCAACUAGGAUAGUUUUAUUUUUCUAUUCAGUCAAUACUAAAUUCAAAUGAAUGCAUAACUCACAUACCUUAAUAUGGAUUAUUAUUUAGAAAGUGGGAAUAGCUUGAUGAAAAAAACAUCUAAAACUAUUGAUCUAAAUUCUAGAGAGAUUUUUUUAAUGUAAACUUUAUUCCUCAAAAUUGAUAAAUAAAUACUAGAGGGGGUGUUGUGAUGCUUUUUAUGCUGUUAGCAUUUUAUAGAUUUCUAAUAAAUAAUUAAUACUUGAAGAUUACUGAAGUUGGAAGCAUCUUUUUAAUUAGGUGUUCUAUCAUUCAGAGAAGAUGAACUAUAAACCAUUCCCCAGGGAAUACUUUUUGUUUGAACUAACAUCUAUGUGUGUUAGCAUUGUUUUCUCUCUGUAUUGGAUUUCUUCCCCCUAAGUACAUUACAGCUUCACUUUGUUUUUAAGGAACUUAUAAGGUUUGCCAUCGUUUCAGGGAAUUGGAACAGGCUCUAAUUUCUAAAUUCCCUCAGUAACUUUGUAUGCUUCUAAAUUUCUAUGUAGAUCACAAAUUCUGUACCAUUUUGAACUGAGGAGAUAAUUUGGCUCCACUAUGUAAGCUUUAGAGAUAAUUUGGUUCCACUAUGUAAGCUUUAUUUUUUUUAAAGUCCCCUUGAUUUUGCAAAAUCAACUGAAGAUAUGAUUAGUACUUUUAAAAACCCAAAUGAAAUGAUCGUAUUAUUCAUCCAUGUAAAAUUACUGUUGGUAGUCUCGUUGACCAUGUGUAUUUGGG
rnacentral:lncRNA from 1 species